CCUAGACGCUGCAGAGCUCAGUUCUUUGAAAGAAUAAAGAAGAAUAAAGAAGCCCUGCCGGCCUUGGCUCUUCAAGUUUAUAGUAAGACAGAGUAGACUGUCUUGGUUAUCUGCUUUUGUAAACGCUGCGUGUUUGGACGGAGUGAAAUUUCUAGCUCUACUUUUCCCUUCAAGAGAACAUCACGUUAGGAUACAUUAUCCAGUUUCCAUGUGUGGACCAAUUUGAAUUUCACAUUUUCUUCAUCCCUGACUUGACACACUUCAACCCUAGCAUCUUCCAUUGGUCCUAACUACUGCAGAAUGGAAAUGACAACACAGCAUCAGAAAGACAGUUUGAACUUCAUUCACUACAACAGUCACGAACUGGUUGAACUCUACCUGCCAUCCAACUUGAAGAAACGAAGACCUGGCACUGGGAAGAAGAAACAAAACCCAAACAAAACAAUACAAAGCAACUGCGAAUUAAUGUAAAAAUGGAGUGCAAAUGCGACUACAGAAUGCAAUAAAAAC
ensembl:lncRNA